rnacentral:rRNA from 1 species
GAUGAACGCUGGCGGCGUGCCUAAUACAUGCAAGUCGAGCGAACGGACGAGUAGCUUGCUUUUCUGAUGUUAGCGGCGGACGUGUGAGUAACCCGUGGAUAACCUACCUAUACGACUGGGAUUACUUCGGGAAACCGGAGCUAAUACCGGAUAAUAUUUUGACCCGCAUGGUUUCAAAGUGCAUGUCGGUCUUUCUGUCACUUAUUGAUGGAUCCGCGCUGCAUUAGCUAGUUGGUAAGGUAACGGCUUACCAAGGCAAGUAUGGAUAGCCGACCUGAGAGGGUGAUCGGGCACACGGGAACUGAGACACGGUCCAGACACCUACGGGAGGCAGCAGUAGGGAAUCUUCCGCAAUGGGCGAAAGCCUGACGGAGCAACGCCGCGUGAGUGAUGAAGGUCUUCGGAUCGUAAAACGCUGUUAGUAGGGAAGAACAAAAGUGUAAGUAACUGUGCACAUCAUGACGGUACCUAAUCAAAAAGCCACGGCUAACUACGUG